UACGUAGGGGGCAAGCGUUGUCCGGAUUUAUUGGGCGUAAAGAGCGUGUAGGCGGCUUGGCAAGUCCGCUGUGAAAACUCGAGGCUCAACCUCGAGCUGUCGGUGGAAACUGCCUGGCUAGAGUCCGGAAGAGGAGUGUGGAAUUCCUGGUGUAGCGGUGGAAUGCGCAGAUAUCAGGAGGAACACCGGUGGCGAAGGCGGGUCUCUGGGCAGUAACUGACGCUGAGGAGCGAAAGCGUGGGGAGCGAACAGG
rnacentral:rRNA from 1 species